GACGAACGCUGGCGGCGUGCCUAAUACAUGCAAGUAGAACGCUGAAGAGAGGGGCUUGCUCUUCUUGGAUGAGUUGCGAACGGGUGAGUAACGCGUAGGUAACCUGCCUUGUAGCGGGGGAUAACUAUUGGAAACGAUAGCUAAUACCGCAUAACAAUGGAUGACACAUGUCAUUUAUUUGAAAGGGGCAAUUGCUCCACUACAAGAUGGACCUGCGUUGUAUUAGCUAGUAGGUGAGGUAAUGGCUCACCUAGGCGACGAUACAUAGCCGACCUGAGAGGGUGAUCGGCCACACUGGGACUGAGACACGGCCCAGACGCCUACGGGAGGCAGCAGUAGGGAAUCUUCGGCAAUGGGGGCAACCCUGACCGAGCAACGCCGCGUGAGUGAAGAAGGGUUUCGGAUCGUAAAGAUCUGUUGUAAGUCAAGAACGGGUGUGAGAGUGGAAAGUUCACACUGUGACGGUAGCUUACCAGAAAGGGACGGCUAACUACGUG
rnacentral:rRNA from 1 species